rnacentral:rRNA from 1 species
GAGCGGCUCGGGGCNACCUCCCACCCGUGUUGCCCGAACCUAUGUUGCCUCGGCGGGCCCCGCGCCCGCCGACGGCCCCCCUGAACGCUGUCUGAAGUUGCAGUCUGAGACCUAUAACGAAAUUAGUUAAAACUUUCAACAACGGAUCUCUUGGUUCCGGCAUCGAUGAAGAACGCAGCGAAAUGCGAUAACUAAUGUGAAUUGCAGAAUUCAGUGAAUCAUCGAGUCUUUGAACGCACAUUGCGCCCUCUGGUAUUCCGGAGGGCAUGCCUGUCCGAGCGUCAUUGCUGCCCUCAAGCCCGGCUUGUGUGUUGGGCCCCGUCCCCCCCGCCGGGGGGACGGGCCCGAAAGGCAGCGGCGGCACCGCGUCCGGUCCUCGAGCGUAUGGGGCUUCGUCACCCGCUCUAGUAGGCCCGGCCGGCGCCAGCCGACCCCCAACCUUUAAUUAUCUCAGGUUGACCUCGGAUCAGGUAGGGAUACCCGCUGAACUUAAGCAUAUCAAUAAGCGGAGGAA